AUAAUAAUAAAAAAAUCAAAAUAAAAUAUAGUUAUUUUAUCACACUUUCCGAUGUUUAACAAAAUACUUACAAAAUUACACGCAUGCGCAGUAUCAUCAGUUCAUCGGUUCUCAAUUCGGACGCGUCCGACAUAAACGAUUCUCGGUUGAGUGUACUGGUGAUCCGAAAACCGAAGCAACCGGUUCUUGAGCAGUGGGCGUGUUCGUUCAUUAUCUGGCUCGGCUCAGUGUUCAUCUUCAGUUCGGUCUUCACAGCAUUUCAUUCAGUGUACUGUUUGAGUAAAUGGAUUACGAUAUUGGUUUAUUCUGACUCAGAGGGAGUGUCAAUCACGUUAAAAAAGUUAACAGCUUAAGUAAUUUGUGUAUUUAUGCUUAUUGGAGACGUGAACCGUUUCAAACGACUCAGUUCGAUUUGGUGAACUGGUUCAACCGGUUCACUAAGAAGAACCGGUUAAAUUGAACGAUUUGUUCACGAAUCGGCCAUCACUAAUUGGAAUACGUUGCUAGGAACAUGAUACAGCGCUCGCUGUUCCUGACAGACUUCAGCUGCCGUCUUCGUAUUUCUUCUUCUGUGGUUUUCCUAGUUCGUGAUCGGUCAACUUCAGAUAAAUCAACAAAUCGGCUCGUUCAACCGCACAAAUGGCACGAAUUCAAACCGAUAGCUCACAAACUUUUUAGACAUGUUUAAAAAUGAUCGGGAGGUCGGGAAGUGCUCGUAAGCCACUCUGCUCGGCUGGUAAUUCAUCGCAAAUGAUACGAGCCGCGACCAUACAAGAAUACGCGAUUUCCACACGAUUGAAAAAAAUUGCAUGCCAACUUGUACGACAGCAAAAAUCGCACCGUGUACGCCCGCCUUUAUCUCUUCAGCUAUUAUGGCCCAAGCACCUCAACACCCAGUAAGAGAAACUUGAAGAAGCACCACCUGACUGCACCUUCACUUUCCAGUAUUGUAUGUGCAUCAUCUGAAACACUUUCAAAUCGAGAGGACCUGUCGCCUAUUGAGGAAAGACUGGAAGAUGAUGAGCGCACCAUGGAUGCCUCUGAGGUUCUGGAGGAAAGUCUACAGAACAUGAGCAUCCAGGAUGCUGAAAACCAGGUCAUGAAUGAGCAGGAGAUAAAUGAUCUAAUGAACAUUGUGUAAGUUCCACUGGGUUUUACUGAACAUUGAGUAACAAGAUGUUCUGCUUUGUAUUAACAAAUAUAAUUUUCUAUCACAUUUGCCAGAAUUGAUUGGGGGGACAGUGAAGGUGUUAGUAAUGAGGAGAUUGAAGCAGAUGACAGUGAAGAUGAGGACUAUGUCCCUCGUAUUUGUAUUCGGUAUGUUA